UACGGGGGGGGUAAGCGUUGUUCGGAAUUACUGGGCGUAAAGGGCUCGUAGGCGGCCAACUAAGUCAGACGUGAAAUCCCUCAGCUUAACUGGGGAACUGCGUCUGAUACUGGAUGGCUUGGAUUCGGGAGAGGAAUGCGGAAUUCCAGGUGUAGCGGUGAAAUGCGUAGAUAUCUGGAGGAACACCGGUGGCGAAGGCGGCAUCCUGGACCGGUAUCGACGCUGAGGCGCGAAAAGCUAGGGGAGCAAACGGG
rnacentral:rRNA from 1 species